GAUCCUGGCUCAGGACGAACGCUGGCGGCGUGCUUAACACAUGCAAGUCGAACGGGGUUUAGCGAGGAGUUUACUUCUUACUAAACCAAGUGGCGGACGGGUGAGUAACGCGUGGAUAACCUGCCCCAUAGCCUGGGAUAACGCCGGGAAACCGGUGCUAAUACCGGAUAAGUUCAUCUGGUUGCAUAACCGGAUGAAGAAAGGUGCAAACCGCUACAGGAUGGGUCCGCGUCCCAUUAGCUUGUUGGUAGGGUAACGGCCUACCAAGGCCGCGAUGGGUAGCCGGCCUGAGAGGGCGACCGGCCACACUGGAACUGAGACACGGUCCAGACUCCUACGGGAGGCAGCAGUGGGGAAUCUUCCGCAAUGGGCGCAAGCCUGACGGAGCAACGCCGCGUGAGUGAUGAAGGUUUUCGGAUUGUAAAACUCUGUCCAAAGGGAAGAAACAAAUGACGGUACCUUUGGAGGAAGCCCCGGCUAACUACGUGCCAGCAGCCGCGGUAAAACGUAGGGGGCGAGCGUUGUCCGGAAUUACUGGGCGUAAAGGGCGUGUAGGCGGCUUGCGCAAGUCAGUCGUGAAACCUAUCGGCUUAACCGGUAGCUGUCGAUUGAAACUGUCGGGCUUGAGUGCAGAAGAGGGGAGUGGAAUUCCCAGUGUAGCGGUGAAAUGCGUAGAUAUUGGGAGGAACACCAGUGGCGAAAGCGGCUCCCUGGCCUGUAACUGACGCUGAGGCGCGAAAGCGUGGGUAGCAAACAGGAUUAGAUACCCUGGUAGUCCACGCCGUAAACGAUGGGUGCUAGGUGUUGGGGGGUAUCGACCCCUCCAGUGCCGCAGUUAACGCAAUAAGCACCCCGCCUGGGGAGUACGGCCGCAAGGCUGAAACUCAAAGGAAUUGACGGGGGCCCGCACAAGCGGUGGAGUAUGUGGUUUAAUUCGACGC
rnacentral:rRNA from 1 species